UUAAACCCUACCCGCAAGCUAUGGCCAUCCAGGGUAAGAGUGGCCAGAGGCCACCGCCAUAGCGUCCCGCAAGGGAAAGGGUAGGGUAGGAGGA
ncrna:unclassified sequences DTF1874 RNA